GAGUUUGAUCUUGGCUCAGAUUGAACGCUGGCGGCAGGCCUAACACAUGCAAGUCGAGCGGAUGACGGGAGCUUGCUCCUUGAUUCAGCGGCGGACGGGUGAGUAAUGCCUAGGAAUCUGCCUGGUAGUGGGGGACAACGUUUCGAAAGGAACGCUAAUACCGCAUACGUCCUACGGGAGAAAGCAGGGGACCUUCGGGCCUUGCGCUAUCAGAUGAGCCUAGGUCGGAUUAGCUAGUUGGUGGGGUAAAGGCUCACCAAGGCGACGAUCCGUAACUGGUCUGAGAGGAUGAUCAGUCACACUGGAACUGAGACACGGUCCAGACUCCUACGGGAGGCAGCA
rnacentral:rRNA from 1 species